GAUGAACGCUGGCGGCGUGCCUAAUACAUGCAAGUCGAGCGAAUGGAUUGAGAGCUUGCUCUUAUGAAGUUAGCGGCGGACGGGUGAGUAACACGUGGGUAACCUGCCCAUAAGACUGGGAUAACUCCGGGAGACCGGGGCUAAUACCGGAUAACAUUUUGAACCGCAUGGUUCGAAAUUGAAAGGCGGUUUCGGCUGUCACUUAUGGAUGGACCCGCGUCGCAUUAGCUAGUUGGGGAGGUAACGGCUCACCAAGGCAACGAUGCGUAGCCGACCUGAGAGGGUGAUCGGCCACACUGGGACUGAGACACGGCCCAGACUCCUACGGGAGGCAGCAGUAGGGAAUCUUCCGCAAUGGACGAAAGUCUGACGGAGCAACGCCGCGUGAGUGAUGAAGGCUUUCGGGUCGUAAAACUCUGUUGUUAGGGAAGAACAAGUGCUAGUUGAAUACGCUGGCACCUUGACGGUACCUAACCAGAAAGCCACGGCUAACUACGUGCCAGCAGCCGCCGCAG
rnacentral:rRNA from 1 species